GCGAGUCGAAUGUAGCAUACAUGGCGUACUGCUCAGUAACACGUGGACAACCUACCCUGAGGUCGGGGAUAAACCCGGGAAACUGGGUAUAAUACCCGAUAGAUCUAAGCAGCUGGAAUGCUUUUAGAUCUAAAGUUCCGACGCCUCAGGAUGGGUCUGCGGCCUAUCAGGGUAGUAGUAGGUGUAACGUACCUACUAGCCUACGACGGGUACGGGUUGUGAGAGCAAGAGCCCGGAGAUGGAUUCUGAGACACGAAUCCAGGCCCUACGGGGUGCAGCAGGCGCGAAACCUUUACAAUGCUGGCAACAGCGAUAAGGGGACCUCGAGUGCCACGAUACAAUCGUGGCUGUCUAGUUGCCUAAAAAGCAAUUGAUAGCAAGGGCCGGGCAAGACCGGUGCCAGCCGCCGCGGUAACACCGGCGGCUCGAGUGGUAACCGCUAUUAUUUGGUCUAAAGGGUCUGUAGCCGGCUUAGUCAGUCUCUUGAGAAAUCUGGCCGCUCAACGGUCAGGCGUUCAGGGGAUACUGCUAAAGCUCGAGACCGGGAGAGGUGAGAGGUACUUCAGGGGUAGGGGUGAAAUCUUGUAAUCCUUGAAGGACCACCA
rnacentral:rRNA from 1 species